rnacentral:misc_RNA from 1 species
AACACUGUUAACCUGCGGUACCUGCGGAGGGAUCAUUAUAGUAUAUGGAAUCUCCAUUCUAUAAACCCACUCUGCGUAUCUUGUAACUGUUGCUUCCAUGGGACUUGGUUCCGCCACACCGGCUUCACGGCUGGUGAGCGCCCAUGGAAGGAGAAACAAAACUCUUCUUUGAAAUGUAGUCAGUCUGAACAAGUUCUUAUAAACGUUAAAACUUUCAACAAUGGAUCUCAGAUCGGAAGA